CUGAAGCUAUAAUGUCUUCUCUUGAUCAUAAGAAUAAAUUAAUUAAGGUCGUCGUUCUGUCUUCUCACGCCGUUCCAACCGAUCAGAACUACCAUAAUAUUAUGACAGGAUCAGUUUUAUUUUCCAUUGCAGAAGUUGCCGGUUUCCUUGGUGCGCCCUCAGCCUGUCCAAUAUGGUUGGUUCCCACAGGUGUUGAAGCUGACAAGAUUCCAGUUUUCAUCAAUAGUAGUAGUAAAACAAGUGAAGUAACGUGUGCUUGUUGUGAUAAAUUUAAAAUAUAACUACAAAAGACCUUAAAAGAAUUCAGAUCAGCACAAAAAAUUAUUGACCUGCUACAAGAAAAGAUAAACACCCCGAAUCGGACCGUAAUGUUACUUGCGUCACAGCGAUAAUUUGAUACAAUUGGAACUAAAAAAAUGUAGAAUGAGUUAAUGUGCCCUCGUCGCGUCGGAAAAGAGACAGUAAGCCAGGAGUAAACUAUGCUGUUCCAAUACCUAUCAUUGCAAACCGCUAUGAGCUACUAAAUAACCUCAACCAGCUGACAAAUACAACACAAUGAGAACACGUUAAACAGAAAAAGUGACCGAGGCCGGGACGUAUGGCAGAUGCAGAAGACAUGCAAUAACAAAUGAGACACCAGUCGACAUGCUGACCACUGAAGUGCUGGUCUUCGACAUGGAACCUGAUGUAGAUGUAGGAGUUGCAGGGGCCCUCCAUCUGUCAGUCAAGAUGAAGAAAAGUUUGUGCGUCGUGAGCACUACAGUGGUCCGACCUCAGACUUCAAGGAGGAGGAGGGCUACAAACCAGAUGUUAAACUCGGCUACACAGAUGAUGAUGGACAUGUGCUUAAUGCAAAGGAGGCUU